rnacentral:misc_RNA from 1 species
CUCUCUCUCUCUCUCUCUCAUCCAAGCACAAACACUCUGAUUUAUGUGACUGUCAGGCAGCAUCGCUUAGAAGUAGACGCACAAACUUUUACCUACUAUUUCCCAUAUGGAAACAGCAAAAUGAUUGAAAUUGAAUUAGUGCAAACUGUAUUUGACAAAUGCUUGAUACUGAAGUCGAGAACAGCAAAUCCUAAUCACAUGUUAAAUAAUAUGCUCAGUGUAUGCGUGUACUGGGGAAGUAGAACUUGCAAUAGGAGAUUAUGAUCCCCAUUCCAACUUUUUAAUGGUAAAUGCAGGGUUAAAAUCCCUUUUUUUAACCUUUGUGCCUAAAGUUGAAUAUUUUUUAGUAAGAUAAUUUCAAGUUUGAUUAAUUUUGAUGUAUGAAAAAGGAUAUUAGUAUUACUCCAAUUGUAGAUUAUCGUGUGUGUGUAAUUUGUCAAUACGUUGUUCAGUGCUCAAGCCAAGGGGUCCACUUAUAAUUUCCAAAUGCAUUUUAAAAUUCUCAAUUUCAGUGGCGUUGUUUUUAUUUAUUUAUUUUGCUUGGGAGAGAAAGCGCCCUGGAAUGGUUGGUGGGGGGGCACGGGAUUUAGCUGUCUCAGUUGGCUGUCCAUGACAUACCUAUAGUGUGAGAAGCAGAGCUUCUUUGGUGCAUAUAAUUUUAUUAGACCUCUCACUGCAACCGUUUUGCCAUAUAGGUUGAACCCAAUGCACACAGGAUCGAGGAGCAUCGUAGGAAGUAUGAAAGGCUGCACAAAGAGAGAGAGGAUAGAAAGAU